GAUGGGGAGGGUUUUCCAAUUAAAAUCUGGUUCGGCAUUCAAAUUCUGAACAUAAUAAAAAACUUCAUCAAAAUUGGAUGAAUAGUUGAUUCAAAAUGAAACACUUACUCGUUACUAUCAUACAUGAAUUCCUGGAAACGCCCGAGAUCAAUUUGCCCACAAACAGCCAUGGAUGAGACCACAGCGACUAUCAUUCUCGCAUAAUAACAAUAGAGGAUCUUCGAGACCGCAUCAUUCUGUUUGCGCAGAAAUUUCUACCGACACUCUAUAGACUGCCAGGAAUUCCGAUAUCGGGUGCCGGUAGAAGAUAUUUUCAGUAUAUCCUCGAUUAGUUUUUUGUUGUUGAUUAGGCUCUGUCUUUUCGAUUUAUUGAUUUGCAGCGUUAUGUUUUGGUAUCGGUUCGUUACGUGUCAGAAAUAAGUGUCGCGUUUCGUUUCAUUUUUGAGUAAACUGUUGGUACGAUCUCGAAGUUUUUUUAUUGUGUUCAGAAUUGAAUGCCGAACCAAAUUUUAAUUGGAAAUAUUUCCCUAUCUUCUACGAUUUAUGAGAUAGGACUGGCGACUGUCCCGAUUCCAAGGUCCGCAUGGGGCACCAUAGUUACGAAUUGCUAUUUGUUGGCAUUGGCAGAUUUUUGAGAUGUACGAUGGUUGCCGAGUUGUUUGGAGGGUGCAGAGUUUUCUUCUACCCUGUAAAUAAAACAGAAAUGUUACAUUCGGCCAACAAGCCCAACUCACCUCCAUACGCUAUUCAUUGGCGUCUUACUAUUAGAGCGGUCUAUCCAAUGUAUAUGUUAGGGCCAAUGCUCGACGUCUAGCCAGUUGGCUGCCCAUUUCUAGGUUUAAUACGGGAGAAUUGACGACUGUUUCGGAGUUUGGCCUAUGAAAAAAGAUGUAUUUCAUUUUUAUGAACAAUUUUAUUAAUGACGAUAAAUAUAAAAUGUUUUCAGCUUUAUAUAUAACUUUUAGUUGGAAUCUGUCCGUGGUAAAAAAAAAAUAUAGUAAAUAUUCGGCAAAGCUUUAAUAUCUUUAUUUAUUUAAUUUGAUAAAAUUUUAAUAUAUUGAUGACGAUAAAGCGCUU
rnacentral:lncRNA from 1 species